GAUGAACGCUGGCGGCGUGCCUAAUACAUGCAAGUCGAGCGAACAGAUGAGGAGCUUGCUCCUCUGACGUUAGCGGCGGACGGGUGAGUAACACGUGGAUAACCUACCUAUAAGACUGGGAUAACUUCGGGAAACCGGAGCUAAUACCGGAUAAUAUAUUGAACCGCAUGGUUCAAUAGUGAAAGACGGUUUUGCUGUCACUUAUAGAUGGAUCCGCGCCGCAUUAGCUAGUUGGUAAGGUAACGGCUUACCAAGGCGACGAUGCGUAGCCGACCUGAGAGGGUGAUCGGCCACACUGGAACUGAGACACGGUCCAGACUCCUACGGGAGGCAGCAGUAGGGAAUCUUCCGCAAUGGGCGAAAGCCAGACGGAGCAACGCCGCGUGAGUGAUGAAGGUCUUCGGAUCGUAAAACUCUGUUAUUAGGGAAGAACAAAUGUGUAAGUAACUAUGCACGUCUUGACGGUACCUAAUCAGAAAGCCACGGCUAACUACGUG
rnacentral:rRNA from 1 species